GUCUACGGCCAUACCACCUUGAAUGCACCCAAUCUUGUCAGCUACACAGGGUCUGGGCCUGGUUUAGUACUUGGAUGGGAGAUCACAUGGGAUGAGAGGAAAUAUCAUGCAUC
rnacentral:rRNA from 1 species